rnacentral:misc_RNA from 1 species
CCGAACAAUGUCAUAGUAUGAUCUCAAUAACAAUUUAGUGACAGCAAUUUCAAUAUUCUCUUGCUCUGAAUGACUUUCUGCAGGUCUCAAGAUGGUUGGAGGCUCUCUUAAAUGGAUCACAGAAAAGCUUUGCUCCAAAGCAUCCAUGUUAUGAACAGGUUCACUAUGUAACUUUGUUGUUGAGCUUUCUUUUGCAGACAUUCGGGAAUUAUCACUCCCCCCAAAAAUUGAUGAAAUACCCCAACUUGCAUUCCCAAGGGGUGCAACCUUUUCAACAUCUGCAGUAGGUCGAACUCC